AUUGAACGCUGGCGGCAUGCCUUACACAUGCAAGUCGAACGGCAGCACGGGAGCAAUCCUGGUGGCGAGUGGCGAACGGGUGAGUAAAGUAUCGGAACGUGCCCAGUCGUGGGGGAUAACGUAGCGAAAGUUACGCUAAUACCGCAUACGAUCUAUGGAUGACAGCGGGGGAUCGCAAGACCUCGACCGAUUGGACCGGCCGAUAUCAGAUUAGGUAGUUGGUGGGGUAAAGGCUCACCAAGCCGACGAUCUGUAGCUGGUCUGAGAGGACGACCAGCCACACUGGGACUGAGACACGGCCCAGACUCCUACGGGAGGCAGCAGUGGGGAAUUUUGGACAAUGGGCGCAAGCCUGAUCCAGCCAUGCCGCGUGCAGGAUGAAGGCCUUCGGGUUGUAAACUGCUUUUGUACGGAACGAAAAGGUUUGACUUAAUACGUUGGACUCAUGACGGUACCAUCAGAGGAAGCACCGGCUAACUUCGUGCCAGCCGCCGCCGUAA
rnacentral:rRNA from 1 species